rnacentral:rRNA from 1 species
GUGGGGAAUAUUGCACAAUGGGGGGAACCCUGAUGCAGCGAUGCCGCGUGGAGGAAGAAGGUUUUCGGAUUGUAAACUCCUGUCGUAAGGGACGAUAAUGACGGUACCUUACAAGAAAGCUCCGGCUAACUACGUGCCAGCAGCCGCGGUAAUACGUAGGGAGCGAGCGUUGUCCGGAAUUACUGGGUGUAAAGGGAGCGUAGGCGGGACGGCAAGUCAGAUGUGAAAUAUACGUGCUCAACAUGUAGACUGCAUUUGAAACUGUCGUUCUUGAGUGAGGUAGAGGUAAGCGGAAUUCCUGGUGUAGCGGUGAAAUGCGUAGAGAUCAGGAGGAACAUCGGUGGCGAAGGCGGCUUACUGGGCCUUUACUGACGCUGAGGCUCGAAAGCGUGGGGAGCAAACAGGAUUAGAUACCCUGGUAGUCC